rnacentral:rRNA from 1 species
UACGGGGGGGGCAAGCGUUGUUCGGAAUUACUGGGCGUAAAGGGCUCGUAGGCGGCCAACUAAGUCAGACGUGAAAUCCCCCGGCUUAACCAGGGAACUGCGUCUGAUACUGGAUGGCUUGAGUUUGGGAGAGGGAUGCGGAAUUCCAGGUGUAGCGGUGAAAUGCGUAGAUAUCUGGAGGAACACCGGUGGCGAAGGCGGCGACCUGGUUCGAUACUGACACUGAGGUGCGAAAGCGUGGGGAGCAAACAGG